GUGGGGAAUCUUAGACAAUGGGGGAAACCCUCAUCUAGCCAUGCCGCGUGAUCGAUGAAGGCCUUAGGGUUGUAAAGAUCUUUCGCUGGGGAAGAUAAUGACUGUACCCAGUAAAGAAGCCCCGGCUAACUCCGUGCCAGCAGCCGCGGUAAUACGGAGGGGGCUAGCGUUAUUCGGAAUUACUGGGCGUAAAGCGCACGUAGGCGGACUGGAAAGUUGGGGGUGAAAUCCCGGGGCUCAACCUCGGAACUGGCUUCAAAACUCCCAGUCUUGAGUUCGAGAGAGGUGAGUGGAAUUCCGAGUGUAGAGGUGAAAUUCGUAGAUAUUCGGAGGAACACCAGUGGCGAAGGCGGCUCACUGGCUCGAUACUGACGCUGAGGUGCGAAAGCGUGGGGAGCAAACAGGAUUAGAUACCCGAGUAGUCC
rnacentral:rRNA from 1 species